rnacentral:rRNA from 1 species
AUUGAACGCUGGCGGCAGGCCUAACACAUGCAAGUCGAGCGGAUGAGAAGAGCUUGCUCUUCGAUUCAGCGGCGGACGGGUGAGUAAUGCCUAGGAAUCUGCCUGGUAGUGGGGGACAACGUUUCGAAAGGAACGCUAAUACCGCAUACGUCCUACGGGAGAAAGCAGGGGACCUUCGGGCCUGGCGCUAUCAGAUGAGCCUAGGUCGGAUUAGCUAGUUGGUGAGGUAAUGGCUCACCAAGGCGACGAUCCGUAACUGGUCUGAGAGGAUGAUCAGUCACACUGGAACUGAGACACGGUCCAGACUCCUACGGGAGGCAGCAGUGGGGAAUAUUGGACAAUGGGCGAAAGCCUGAUCCAGCCAUGCCGCGUGUGUGAAGAAGGUCUUCGGAUUGUAAAGCACUUUAAGUUGGGAGGAAGGGCAGUAAGUUAAUACCUUGCUGUUUUGACGUUACCGACAGAAUAAGCACCGGCUAACUCUGUGCCAGCAGCCGCGGUAAUAC